rnacentral:rRNA from 1 species
AUUGAACGCUGGCGGCAGGCCUAACACAUGCAAGUCGAGCGGAUGAAGGGAGCUUGCUCCUGGAUUCAGCGGCGGACGGGUGAGUAAUGCCUAGGAAUCUGCCUGGUAGUGGGGGAUAACGUCCGGAAACGGGCGCUAAUACCGCAUACGUCCUGAGGGAGAAAGAGGGGGAACUUCGGAACUUACGCCAUCAGAAGAGCCUAGGACGGAGUUGCUAGUUGGUGGGGUAAAGGCCUACCAAGGCGACGAUCCGUAACUGGUCUGAGAGGAUGAUCAGUCACACUGGAACUGAGACACGGUCCCAACUCCUACGGGGGGCAGCAGUGGGGAAUAUUGGACAAAGGGCGAAAGCCUGAUCCAGGCAUGCCGCGUGUGUGAAGAAGGUCUUCCGAUUGUUAAGCACUUUAAGUUGGGAGAAAGGGCAAUAAGUUGAUACCUUGCUGUUUUGACGUUACCAACAGAAUAAGCUCCGGCUAACUUCGUG